rnacentral:rRNA from 1 species
GGUGAACGCUAGCUACAGGCUUAACACAUGCAAGUCGAGGGGCAGCGGGAUUGUAGCAAUACAAUUGCCGGCGACCGGCGCACGGGUGAGUAACACGUAUCCAACCUUCCGGUUACUCGGGGAUAGCCUUUCGAAAGAAAGAUUAAUACCCGAUAGCAUAAGAUUUCCGCAUGGUUUUCUUAUUAAAGAUUCAUCGGUAACCGAUGGGGAUGCGUUCCAUUAGGUAGUAGGCGGGGUAACGGCCCACCUAGCCGACGAUGGAUAGGGGGUUCUGAGAGGAAGGUACCCCCGACCAUUGG